UGAAGAAGCCGUCAUAUGGCGAAACGCGUCAAUGCCAUACAAGGGGGAGGAGCUUGCAUCACACAGAGUCCGGAGUGUUUUUUUUUUUAAACUGAAGUUCCAGCGGCUUUCAUUACAGUGAUUCAUCUUCAGUUCAGCCAAGCUGGAGGAGUGAUAGCAGCCCACCCGCUACUUUGAAUCCUUAGAAGCUGUUUUAGUGAGUAACUG